AGUUCGGUAGGGAUAAACGCUGAAAGCAUCUAAGCGUGAAACCCGUCCCAAGAUAAGGUAUCCCUGGACUUAAAUGUCCCUAAAGACCCCCAGAAGACUACUGGGUUGAUAGGCCAGGUGUGUAAGCAUAGUAAUAUGUUCAGCUAACUGGUACUAAUCGGUCGUGAGGCUUGGCCUU
rnacentral:ncRNA from 1 species